rnacentral:rRNA from 1 species
UGGUGUUCCCGAGUAGCAGCGAGCUCGUGGAAUUUGCUGUGAAUCUGCCGGGACCACCCGGUAAGCCUAAAUACUUCCUGAAGACCGAUAGCGGACGAGUACCGUGAGGGAAAGAUGAAAAGUACCCCGGGAGGGGAGUGAAAGAGUACCUGAAACCGUGUGCCUACAAGCCGUCAGAGCCUACUUGUUGGGUGAUGGCGUGCCUUUUGAAGAAUGAGCCUGCGAGUUAGUGCUGCGUGGCGAGGUUAACCCGUGUGGGGUAGCCGUAGCGAAAGCGAGUCUGAAUAGGGCGAUCCAGUCGCGUGGUCUAGACCCGAAGCGGAGUGAUCUACCCAUGGCCAGGGUGAAGCGACGGUAAGACGUCGUGGAGGCCCGAACCCACUUAGGUUGAAAACUGAGGGGAUGAGCUGUGGGUAGGGGUGAAAGGCCAAUCAAACUCCGUGAUAGCUGGUUCUCCCCGAAAUGCAUUUAGGUGCAGCGUCGUAUGUUUCUCCGCGGGGGUAGAGCUACUGGAUGGUCUAGGGGCCUUACCGGGUUACCGAAAUCAACCAAACUCCGAAUACCGUGGUGUUAGAGUACGGCAGUGAGACGGCGGGGGAUAAGCUUCGUCGUCGAGAGGGAAACAGCCCAGAACACCAGCUAAGGCCCCUAAGUGUGUGCUCAGUGGGAAAGGAUGUGGGAUUGCCCAGACAACCAGGAGGUUGGCUUAGAAGCAGCCACCCUUGAAAGAGUGCGUAAUAGCUCACUGGUCAAGUGGUCCUGCGCCGACAAUGUAGCGGGGCUUAAGCACACCGCCGAAGCUGUGUCAUU